GGUCUAAUAGUGUAGAGGUUAUCACACGGGAUUCUGAUAUCGGAAUUUGAUUGGUGUUCCCGUGACCCAGGUUCGAGUCCUGGUUAGCCCU